rnacentral:lncRNA from 1 species
UUUUUUCCCUUCUUCUCCCCGAGCCUCCCGCUGCCCGGUUUUCCGGCUGUCCUCCCGCCGCCGUCCGACCUCCGUUCGCCGCCGGACCGGUCCCGUUCGGUCGGUCUCCCUCCCAGCAACAUUUCUAGACCGGUGAGAGGAACCCUAGCGCCGCCGUGAGAGAGCGGUGCCGCCCGAAAGCAAGGGCUGUCCCGAACUUCCCUUCGCCGGAACUUCCUCCUCCGGCCACCAAUCCGGGCAAGCUUGGUACGGUUUUGUAGCCCUCCUCCCGUGCAACAACCCCUCCAAACAGCUCCCUCCCUCUUGAGCUAGGUAAGGAGAAAUUUGAGGUGGAAGUUUUAUGGUGUUUAAGUUGUUUUCGUUCGAUUAGCCUAGUUAGGCUUGGAAUUGGGUGAUGUGUUAGUCAUGAAAGUUGUAGAGGAGAUUGAGAGGAAGAUUCUGUUAAAAUUUGGUAGCAUUUGCAGGUCGUCGGAAAACGGCUGCUGGCCGCCGGUUAGGAGAUUUUUAGGGUUUUAAAUGUGGAAUAUUAAGAGGAGUAUAUUGGUGUGAUUUAUGGAAUUUUUGGAUGAGAUUUGGAUAGGUUUGUGAUUUUCCGAAGUUUGGUAUUUUUGGCGGUUAAUUAAUGUAGAAUCCGGCCGUAGGAUUUAAGUCGUAUUUUGAGGAGGUUAUAUUUACGACUGUGAAGUAUGAUAUUUAAGUUCGGAUCGUCCGAUGUAAGAAUAUCGAAGUUAGACAAUAAUGAGCGUAAUUAUGGCUCUCGGGUAAUUUUGCCUAUUUUGAUUAAAUAUUGGAUUAUUGGUUGGGAAAUUAAUAUUUUAUUUGGAACAGGACGUGAGGAGGCUCGAGCAGACGAGACCCCAGAUCGACAUCAGGCUUAGGCCUAAUUUGUGAGUGGACGUUUAUUUUAAAUAAAUGCAUGCUAAAGUUCACGAUUGAAUAAUUAAUGUCGUGGAGUAUUUUGACGUCAUUUUAAUUUUUGACGAUUUUUAUUUCUCUUGGAGAGAUACCGAAAAUAGGAUUUUCGGUGGAUAUAAAUAUGUAUUUAUGAGAGAGUAUGUAUAGAAAAUGCUAGCUAGCCAUAUGUGUCUGUCCACCUUAAUGGCGUAGCAUAUAGCCGCAUUAUGGUGUGACGUGAGCGUUGGACGUAAGCGUAGUAGCCCUAUUUGAGUGUUUAAUUCAUAUAGGGGGUAUGGACACAUAUNNNNN